AACGAACGCUGGCGGCGUGUCUUAAGCAUGCAAGUCGAGCGGCAAGGGGGAGCAAUCCCCCCUAGAGCGGCGGACUGGUGAGUAACGCGUGGGUGAUCUGCCUUUGUCAUGGGGAUAGCCAUUAGAAAUAGUGGGUAAUACCGAAUACGCUUGUGUCCGUAAGGGGCAUAAGGAAAGGCGCUACGGCGCCGGACGAAGAUGAGCCCGCGUCCCAUUAGCUAGUUGGUGAGGUAACGGCCCACCAAGGCGAUGAUGGGUAGCCGGCCUGAGAGGGUGUACGGCCACACUGGGACUGAGAUACGGCCCAGACUCCUACGGGAGGCAGCAGCUAAGAAUAUUCCGCAAUGGACGAAAGUCUGACGGAGCGACGCCGCGUGGAUGACGAAGGCCGAAAGGUUGUAAAAUCCUUUUGCUGGGGAAGAAUAAGCGCAGGAGGGAAUGCCUGCGUGAUGACAUGAACCGGCGAAUAAGCCCCGGCUAACUACGUGCCAGCCGCCGCCGUAAAAC
rnacentral:rRNA from 1 species